rnacentral:rRNA from 1 species
AGCGAACGCUGGCGGCAGGCCUAACACAUGCAAGUCGAACGAAGUCUUCGGACUUAGUGGCGGACGGGUGAGUAACACGUGGGAACGUGCCUUUAGGUUCGGAAUAACUCAGGGAAUCUUGUGCUAGUACCGAAUGUGCCCUUCGGGGGAAAGAUUUAUCGCCUUUAGAGCGGCCCGCGUCUGAUUAGCUAGUUGGUGAGGUAAAGGCUCACCAAGGCGACGAUCAGUAGCUGGUCUGAGAGGAUGAUCAGCCACAUUGGGACUGAGACACGGCCCAAACUCCUACGGGAGGCAGCAGUGGGGAAUCUUGCGCAAUGGGCGAAAGCCUGACGCAGCCAUGCCGCGUGAAUGAUGAAGGUCUUAGGAUUGUAAAAUUCUUUCACCGGGGACGAUAAUGACGGUACCCGGAGAAGAAGCCCCGGCUAACUUCGUGCCAGCCGCCGCGGUAAAAC